GGAGAAGAAACUGCUCCUGUGGAUUCUACUGGAAGUCCUCAGACGCAACCCAAAGGUGGACAACAUAAAACUCUGACGAACAGGCAUAUUCGAUGAACGUGCACGUAAGGAUUAUACAAGCACUGCUACCAACAAAAUGCAGAGAAAACUGCUCUUGAUCUCUAAAAAG